UACAAAUGCUAAGUAGUUGUGCCGUAGGUAACUUAUAUGAGAUUACCUGCUGCCUACUGCUUAACACCUGUA
rnacentral:pre_miRNA from 1 species